UACGUAGGCAGCGAGCGUUGUUCGGAAUUACUGGGCGUAAAGAGUGUGUAGGCGGUGCUCUAAGUUCGGUGUGAAAUCUCCUGGCUCAACUGGGAGGGUGCGCCGGAAACUGGAGUGCUUGAGCGUGGGAGAGGAAAGCGGAAUUCCUGGUGUAGCGGUGAAAUGCGUAGAUAUCAGGAGGAACACCUGUGGUGUAGACGGCUUUUCUGGGACCAUAGCUGACGCUGAGACACGAAAAGCCGUGGGGUAGCAAAACAGGAUUAGAAAACCCCCGGU
rnacentral:rRNA from 1 species